rnacentral:sRNA from 1 species
GCAGCAGCAACAGCAGCCUCCGCCGCCGCCACCGCCGCCUCCGCCGCUGCCUCAGGAGCGGAACAACGUCGGCGAGCGGGAUGAUGAUGUGCCUGCAGAUAUGGUUGCAGAAGAAUCAGGUCCUGGUGCACAAAAUAGUCCAUACCAACUUCGUAGAAAAACUCUUUUGCCGAAAAGAACAGCGUGUCCCACAAAGAACAGUAUGGAGGGCGCCUCAACUUCAACUACAGAAAACUUUGGUCAUCGUGCAAAACGUGCAAGAGUGUCUGGAAAAUCACAAGAUCUAUCAGCAGCACCUGCUGAACAGUAUCUUCAGGAGAAACUGCCAGAUGAAGUGGUUCUAAAAAUCUUCUCUUACUUGCUGGAACAGGAUCUUUGUAGAGCAGCUUGUGUAUGUAAACGCUUCAGUGAACUUGCUAAUGAUCCAAUUUUGUGGAAACGAUUAUAUAUGGAAGUAUUUGAAUAUACUCGCCCUAUGAUGCAUCCUGAACCUGGUAAAUUCUACCAGAUUAAUCCAGAAGAGUAUGAACAUCCAAACCCCUGGAAAGAGAGUUUCCAGCAGUUGUAUAAAGGUGCCCAUGUAAAGCCAGGAUUUGCUGAACAUUUCUACAGUAACCCUGCAAGAUAUAAAGGAAGAGAAAAUAUGUUGGUAUGUUUGAUUUUUAUUUUUAUGACUUAAAAUGGUAAUCUUUCAGUUCUGUACUGACACAUUUUUUUUUUCUAGUAUUAUGAUACUAUUGAAGAUGCCCUUGGUGGGGUACAAGAGGCUCAUUUUGAUGGACUUAUCUUUGUUCAUUCUGGAAUAUAUACUGAUGAAUGGAUAUAUAUUGAAUCUCCAAUCACCAUGAUUGGUGCAGCACCUGGGAAAGUGGCAGACAAAGUUAUAAUUGAAAACACUAGAGAUUCAACCUUCGUUUUUAUGGAAGGCUCUGAAGAUGCUUAUGUUGGAUAUAUGACAAUAAGGUUUAACCCUGAUGACAAAUCUGCACAACACCACAAUGCACACCACUGCUUAGAGAUUACAGUAAAUUGUAGCCCUAUUAUUGAUCACUGUAUCAUCCGAAGUACAUGUACAGUUGGUUCUGCAGUAUGUGUUAGUGGUCAAGGAGCAUGUCCCACCAUCAAGCACUGUAACAUCAGCGACUGUGAAAAUGUUGGACUAUAUAUAACAGAUCAUGCACAGGGAAUAUAUGAGGAUAAUGAAAUUUCCAAUAAUGCGUUAGCUGGGAUUUGGGUUAAAAAUCAUGGAAACCCAAUAAUUAGACGGAAUCAUAUUCAUCAUGGACGUGAUGUUGGUGUGUUCACAUUUGAUCAUGGCAUGGGUUACUUUGAAAGUUGCAACAUACACAGAAAUAGGAUAGCAGGCUUUGAAGUAAAAGCCUAUGCUAACCCCACAGUGGUUCGAUGUGAAAUUCACCAUGGGCAGACUGGAGGAAUAUAUGUCCAUGAAAAAGGAAGAGGACAAUUCAUAGAGAAUAAAAUCUAUGCAAACAACUUUGCAGGUGUAUGGAUUACCUCAAAUAGUGACCCAACAAUAAGGGGAAAUUCUAUAUUUAAUGGAAAUCAAGGAGGAGUUUACAUCUUUGGUGAUGGACGAGGCCUUAUUGAAGGAAAUGACAUUUAUGGCAAUGCAUUAGCAGGAAUUCAGAUUAGGACAAACAGUUGUCCAAUUGUUCGGCAUAACAAAAUUCAUGAUGGCCAGCAUGGUGGGAUUUAUGUGCAUGAAAAGGGACAAGGAGUAAUAGAAGAGAAUGAAGUUUAUAGUAACACUCUAGCUGGAGUCUGGGUGACAACUGGCAGCACUCCAGUACUGAGAAGAAACCGGAUACACAGUGGCAAGCAGGUUGGUGUUUAUUUUUAUGACAAUGGACAUGGAGUGCUAGAAGACAAUGAUAUCUAUAAUCAUAUGUAUUCAGGGGUUCAGAUAAGGUAAAUGUUUUCACAUUUGGCUUUCUUUUGGGAGGGAGUUAGGAGUAUGUGGGGUGUGUAGAAGAAAUUUGCUUAUUGUUUAAUGCCCAAUCUUUAUCCCCCUAUUGUAUAUAUAUUCACAUUCUUAAAAUAAUCUUGACUUAAAUUGUUAGAAUGUAGCUUUCCUUGGUCUAGGUGAGGACAGAAGCCAGUGGCACAUGUGCCAUAAGAGGUCACUUCCACCGUUCUGCUUUCCACUAUGAGAGUCACAUCAGCUGCCAAUAUGAUCCUUCUUACUUGGAGAGUGGAAGUCUGUAUUAAAGUACUUGUGCAUUAUGACUGGCAUAUCAUUGGCACUCAAUAAAAUGAAGCUUCUGUUUUAU